rnacentral:rRNA from 1 species
AUACAGAGGGUGCGAGCGUUAAUCGGAUUUACUGGGCGUAAAGCGUGCGUAGGCGGCUUCUUAAGUCGGAUGUGAAAUCCCUGAGCUUAACUUAGGAAUUGCAUUCGAUACUGGGAAGCUAGAGUAUGGGAGAGGAUGGUAGAAUUCCAGGUGUAGCGGUGAAAUGCGUAGAGAUCUGGAGGAAUACCGAUGGCGAAGGCAGCCAUCUGGCCUAAUACUGACGCUGAGGUACGAAAGCAUGGGGAGCAAACAGGAUUAGAUACCCUAGUAGUCC